UACGUAGGUGGCAAGCGUUGUCCGGAUUUAUUGGGUUUAAAGGGUGCGUAGGCGGUCUUAUAAGUCAGUGGUGAAAUACGGCGGCUCAACUGUCGAGGUGCCAUUGAUACUGUAGGACUUGAGUACAGACGAGGUAGGCGGAAUUGACGGUGUAGCGGUGAAAUGCUUAGAUAUCGUCAAGAACACCGAUAGCGAAGGCAGCUUACUAGGCUGUAACUGACGCUGAGGCACGAAAGUGUGGGGAUCAAACAGG
rnacentral:rRNA from 1 species